rnacentral:rRNA from 1 species
CCAGACUCCUACGGGAGGCAGCAGUGGGGAAUAUUGCACAAUGGGGGAAACCCUGAUGCAGCGACGCCGCGUGAAGGAAGAAGUAUUUCGGUAUGUAAACUUCUAUCAGCAGGGAAGAAAAUGACGGUACCUGACUAAGAAGCCCCGGCUAACUACGUGCCAGCAGCCGCGGUAAUACGUAGGGGGCAAGCGUUAUCCGGAUUUACUGGGUGUAAAGGGCGUGUAGCCGGGCUGACAAGUCAGAUGUGAAAUCCGGGGGCUCAACCGCGGAACUGCAUUUGAAACUGUGCUUCUUGAGUGCUGGAGAGGCAGACGGAAUUCCUAGUGUAGCGGUGAAAUGCGUAGAUAUUAGGAGGAACACCAGUGGCGAAGGCGGUCUGCUGGACAGUAACUGACGGUGAGGCGCGAAAGCGUGGGGAGCAAACAGGAUUAGAUACCCGAGUAG